rnacentral:rRNA from 1 species
GACGAACGCUGGCGGCGUGCUUAACACAUGCAAGUCGAACGGAAAGGCCCUGCUUUUGUGGGGUGCUCGAGUGGCGAACGGGUGAGUAACACGUGAGUAACCUGCCCUUGACUUUGGGAUAACUCCAGGAAACUGGGGCUAAUACCGGAUAGGAGCUCCUGCUGCAUGGUGGGGGUUGGAAAGUUUCGGCGGUUGGGGAUGGACUCGCGGCUUAUCAGCUUGUUGGUGGGGUAGUGGCUUACCAAGGCUUUGACGGGUAGCCGGCCUGAGAGGGUGACCGGCCACAUUGGGACUGAGAUACGGCCCAGACUCCUACGGGAGGCAGCAGUGGAGAAUAUUGCACAAUGGGCGGAAGCCUGAUGCAGCAACGCCGCGUGCGGGAUGACGGCCUUCGGGUUGUAAACCGCUUUCGCCUGUGACGAAGCGUGAGUGACGGUAAUGGGUAAAGAAGCACCGGCUAACUACGUG